rnacentral:lncRNA from 1 species
GAAAGAAAAGGCUUCAUCAAGUUGAUCCUGCUUCAAAGCUGUGCGAGGAGAAGGAACCUACUGAGUGGCUUAAUGCAGCAAUGCGAACAGAAGUGUGAGCAGAGGCAGCUCUGUGGCUUACACAGCACUUGCCUGGCCGCAUGAGGCCCAGGCUCCUGCCUAACACAGACCAAGACUGGAACAGACCACUCUUUGGAAAGACUGUUUUUACUGUGAAGAGGAGAAAAGACUGGGCCACUAACUAUAGGAAGAAGCUGACUGAGCAGGGAUGACCUUCUGUUAAAGACACAUCAGUCAACUUUACCAACAAACAGAAAGAGACAGCAGAUGGAGGAAACAGAGAGGAACAAGAUGGCAGCAGGACCCUGUGGAGAAGUAGAAGAGCUGAGGCAUGGCAUGGGCAUAGACAAGCCCUUCCUAUCCUGUAACCAGCCAUGAUGCAUGAAUACAUGAUAGUGGCAUGGCUACCCAAAGUCACGAGGUACCAGGCCAGGAAGAUGCCAAGGGUAUUCUGGACCCAAUGCUAUUCUUUCCAGAAGCAUGAAGCUGAGCUAACAGUGAAAGAGCAGAGAACACAAUGUGAGUCUGAUGAAGACAAGCAUCACGUAGCUAGCUCUAAAGGUAUGAGAAGCCUGUUAGGAUUCUAGUUACAACUUCAUGGAAUUCUAGAAAUAACUUCUCUUCAGAUAUAAUAAAUAAAUUCAUACCAAGAA